AUCCAGCUGACGAGUCCCAAAUAAGACGAAACUCAUGUUAUGGAU
rnacentral:hammerhead_ribozyme from 1 species